ACUGAUUCUGCAAUUCUGGUAAAGUUAAUCUCUGAGAGUGAUGUUAUUCUUCACCCCAUGGGCUCUCUUAUUUGCUGCUGCAAAAAUCUGAUUAGAAAUUUUCAAUGCUUCUCCAUAAGGCACAUUUACAGAGAAUGUAACAUGGUUGCUGCCUUGCUAAGCAGAGCAUCAAUCAUGCUUAUGGGAUAAUCGAGUUUGAUAGCCCUCCUAUCCAUGCCUCACUUGCUUAUCUUGAUGAUCUUGAUGGAGUUACUUGGCAACGACGAAUCUCUGUUAGGCCUGAUAAUAGGCCAAGAUAGCUUGUUUCUUUAGUCUGUUUUGUUUUUCUGGGUCUUUUUGACCCCUUGCUUACCAAAAAAAAGAACAGAGCUCCAACCCGCAGUUGACCAGCGGCAGAGGGCGCUUGGGUUCACGCUUACAAGACCCCUUAAUUCCUCAUUCUCACCCUCACCAGGUCAUAAAAAGCAUGGAGAAGCAAGGACUGAGAGAUCAAACCUUAUGCUGCCUUGUUAGGAGCUCAAAGCGGCGGGAUCCACAUGCACCUCACCCACUUUACAAUUACACCUCUCGGCGUGUGUUCUUGAGCCUAUCAGCGGUUUCGGCGUGGCUAAAGUUUUGGAAUCUGGGGAUGCAAAGUUAAGCAAGGCGACUUGGUUUGGGGAAAGACUGGCUGGGAAGAGUAUAGUCUCAUCACUUCCAUUCAGUAUUUGUUUUAGAUUCCCACCACCGACUUGGUGGCACUGAUAUGCCCUCCCCUCUCCCUGCUGCCCCUAUUAUUUCAGUUGCUAUUACUGCUACUACCACUUUUUAAUUCUUCUUCUGCAAAAUUGCCUCUGCUUGAAACAAAAAGUUUGCAUUAUCUUUUUAUGUCACUGAUUGUAUUGGCUUCUUCUUAUUCAUGCUGAAUGGUGAGAUUAGUGUCAAACCCUUAUUUGUUUGAACAAAGAUAUUUUACAUUUUGAUUUCUAUGAUUGCGGCGUUUGUUAAUUGUCACAUUCUGUCCAAAACUGAUGUUCCAAACUCCAAUUGCUUUUCAAAUUUAGUAGUGUGGUCUUGCAGUAAGAAAUUUAUUCAGCAUCAAAUAAUCUUGAUGACACUGGUAAUGCAGUAACUUAACUGCCUUUUAGCAUUGUUCUCUACUUAAAUGAGUUGGAGUAAUCCAUCGUAAUUAAUUCAACCACUUUUGAUCUUUCA